rnacentral:rRNA from 1 species
AGUGAACGCUGGCGGUAGGCCUAACACAUGCAAGUCGAACGGCAGCACAGGAGAGCUUGCUCUCUGGGUGGCGAGUGGCGGACGGGUGAGGAAUACAUCGGAAUCUACUCUGUCGUGGGGGAUAACGUAGGGAAACUUACGCUAAUACCGCAUACGACCUACGGGUGAAAGCAGGGGACCUUCGGGCCUUGCGCGAUUGAAUGAGCCGAUGUCGGAUUAGCUAGUUGGCGGGGUAAAGGCCCACCAAGGCGACGAUCCGUAGCUGGUCUGAGAGGAUGAUCAGCCACACUGGAACUGAGACACAGUCCAGACUCCUACGGGAGGCAGCAGUGGGGAAUAUUGGACAAUGGGCGCAAGCCUGAUCCUGCCAUACCGCGUGGGUGAAGAAGGCCUUCGGGUUGUAAAGCCCUUUUGUUGGGAAAGAAAUCCAGCUGGCUAAUACCCGGUUGGGAUGACGGUACCCAAAGAAUAAGCACUGGCUAACUUCGUGCCAGCCGCCGCCGUAA